rnacentral:tRNA from 1 species
GAUAAUUUAGCAGAAAAAUGCAAUUGAUUUAGAAUCAAUAGGGAACGUGAGUUAAUUA